rnacentral:tRNA from 1 species
GGGCGUGUAGCUCAGCUGGGAGAGCACUUGGCUCGCAUUCAAGAGGUCAGGGGUUCGAGCCCCCUCACGUCCACCA